CGCUGGCGGCAUGCUUUACACAUGCAAGUCGAACGGCAGCACGGGGGCAACCCUGGUGGCGAGUGGCGAACGGGUGAGUAAUAUAUCGGAACGUACCCAGGAGUGGGGGAUAACGUAGCGAAAGUUACGCUAAUACCGCAUACGACCUACGGGUGAAAGUGGGGGACCGCAAGGCCUCAUGCUCAUGGAGCGGCCGAUAUCUGAUUAGCUAGUUGGUGGGGUAAAGGCUCACCAAGGCAACGAUCAGUAGCUGGUCUGAGAGGAUGACCAGCCACACUGGAACUGAGACACGGUCCAGACUCCUACGGGAGGCAGCAGUGGGGAAUUUUGGACAAUGGGGGCAACCCUGAUCCAGCAAUGCCGCGUGAGUGAAGAAGGCCUUCGGGUUGUAAAGCUCUUUUGUCAGGGAAGAAACGACCCCUUCUAAUACAGGGGGUUAAUGACGGUACCUGAAGAAUAAGCACCGGCU
rnacentral:rRNA from 1 species